AACACGCGUGUGCCGUGCCGUGCCGUGCCGUGCCGUGCCGUGCCGGGAGGGUUCGCGCGAGGGCGGUGCUGCGAUGGGCCGCCGGAGAGCGCCAGGUCCUGGGGCCCUCGGCCGGGCUCUUAUCCGCCAGAAUACCCAGCGGAGCCGUAACCACCGUCACAGCGACUCCUGGUUGCACACAAGUGAGCUCAAUGAUGGCUACGAUUGGGGUCGUCUUAAUCUUCAGUCAGUGACUGAACAGAGCUCCCUCGAUGACUUCCUUGCAACUGCAGAACUUGCAGGAACAGAGUUUGUAGCUGAGAAACUUAAUAUCAAGUUUGUGCAUCCUGAGGCUAGAGCUGGACUACUGUCUUUUGAGGAGAGCCAGAGAAUUAAGAAACUCCAUGAAGAAAACAAACAGUUCUUGAGUGUACCACGGAGACCAAAGUGGGACAAAAACACUAGUCCAGAAGAACUCAAACAGGCAGAGAAAGAUAACUUUCUAGAAUGGAGACGUCAGCUUGUCCGGCUAGAAGAGGAACAAAAAUUGCUAUUGACUCCAUUUGAAAGAAAUUUGGACUUUUGGCGCCAGCUCUGGAGGGUGAUUGAGAGAAGUGAUAUCGUGGUCCAGAUAGUAGAUGCUCGAAACCCACUCCUGUUUAGAUGUGAGGAUUUGGAAUGUUACGUGAAAGAAAUAGAUGAUAAUAAGGAAAACGUCAUUCUGAUAAAUAAGGCAGAUUUGUUGACUGCUGAGCAGCGGAGUUCCUGGGCCACAUACUUUGAAAAAGAAAAUGUGAAGAUUAUCUUCUGGUCAGCUUUGGCUGAAGCCAUUCAACUGAUUGGUGACUCUAAGGAACAGGCGAACGGGGGUGCUGGAGAAGCCAACACAGCCAAGUCUGAAAAGGCCCGUUGUGAGGAGGCUGCGGUCCCACACAGUGAGCCCGGACAUCUCCCAGACUGCGGUUCCCUCGCACUUAGCGACCUUGCCCCUAGCGAUGAGGACUCCAGUGAGUACGAGGACUGUCCGGAGGAGGAGGAGGAGGUGUGGCAGACAUGCUCGGAAGAGGACAACAACCCUGACGAAGAGGCCUCUGGCCAGGACUGGCAGAGAAGCUGCACUGCGGAUUCUGAGGCUCAGGGUAGGAAACCCCUGCAGAAGGAGCGCACACACAACUUUAGCCACCUCGUAUCAAGGCAGGAGUUGUUGGAGAUCUUUAAGCAGCUGCACAAUGGGAAGAAGGUGAAAGACGGACAACUUACGGUUGGACUGGUAGGCUACCCGAAUGUUGGUAAGAGUUCCACAAUCAACACCAUCGUGGGCGACAAGAAAGUGUCUGUGUCUGCCACACCUGGCCACACCAAGCAUUUCCAGACCCUCUAUGUGGAACCUGGCCUCUGCUUAUGUGACUGCCCCGGCUUGGUCAUGCCAUCCUUCGUCUCUACCAAGGCAGAGAUGAUUUGCAAUGGAAUCCUCCCAAUUGACCAAAUGAGAGACCACGUCCCCCCUGUGUCACUAGUUUGCCAGAAUAUUCCGAGACAUGUCUUAGAAGCUACCUAUGGCAUUAAUAUCAUAAAGCCUAGAGAGGAUGAAGAUCCCUGUCGACUUCCAACAUCAGAAGAACUGUUGACGGCUUAUGGAUACAUGCGAGGAUUCAUGACUGCGCAUGGGCAGCCAGACCAGCCGCGGUCUGCUCGCUAUAUCCUGAAGGACUACGUCAGCGGUCAACUUCUGUACUGUCAUCCUCCUCCUGGAAGAGACCCUGUGACCUUUCAGCAGCAACACCAGCGACUCCUAGAGAGCCAAACAAACGGUGGCGAACUGAAAGUACAUCCAGGCAGAAAUAAAAAAGCAACACAGAUUGAAAAUAUAGUUGAUAAAACUUUUUUCCAUCAAGAAAAUGUGAGAGCUUUGACCAAAGGAGUGCAGGCUGUGAUGGGCUACAAGCCUGGGAGUGGCAUGGUGACCGCAGCUACUGUGAGCGCUGAGAGCAGGGCUGGGAAGGCCUGGAAAAAACAUGGCAACAGAAAUAAAAAAGAGAAAAGUCGUCGACUGUAUAAGCACCUGGAUACAUGAACUUGGGCUGCAACAGAAAUGGCUUCUGCACUGUGCAUCUGGAAUAGAACAGGAGCUGCUCUGGCCUGUGAUUGCACAGAAUGGACGCUGCUCUCGUGGCACGCAGCCACACCAAACACCAGUAUCCAGACGGGGGGCUCCUUGGAGCAGCGAACAACACAGUCAUCUUGGAGCCCCAGAAACCUCGUCCUGUAGAAGGCUGAACCUAAGAUGAGGGAACACAUGGUUGUGUGUGUGUGUGAACAAAUACGCAGAUGCAUACUAAUUUGAGCCUGCUCAGCCUGCACACAGGGCAAUCUAGAAGGGCUGGGGAUGUAACACCCCCAGAGCAACCGCCAACUGGUAAAGAACGGGCUGGUUGGUAAGUGCCCCGGCUUCCCUAUCACUCGGUGCGUACAUUGUACAUGUGCCUCACUGCACCCUCAGAGGGAUUGAGCCCCACUUGCCCACAGUGAACAGGGUGCUGGGUGGCUCAGUCAGUUAAGCGUCCAACUCUCGAUCUCAGCUCAAGUUGUGAGCUCAAGCCCCAUGUUGGGCUCCACUUUAAGUCUGGAGCCUACUUAAGAAAAUUAACUAAACCUAAGUCCUCUGCUUAGAGUCUGAAAAACCAAAACUAGGACACCCUGAAAGGGGGCUUUCUAGUUUCACCUUUGCUUCUGCCCAGAAUGGGUGUCUUGUGAAGCAUCCUUUCAAUUUUUGUAGGUAUCCUCACCCUUGUAGCAGUUAGUACUUUAGACUAAAUAAAUUCCAGUCAUUAGCAUUAUCACUUUAUGGUUUUGAAUUUUUUCCCAGCAUUUUAUUACAAGAAAUAUACUGUCCUUUUAAAGUAGAACCUGGUACACAUCUGUCAUCUGUUUACUUUUUGGGAAACUAGAAGGAAGUUAAGGUUUUGGUCAAGAUAUCAGUAGCAACAUAUGCUUUCUUCGUAGGUAAACUGGAAAAUAUGGCAGCAAGCCAGAAAUCUGUUUAAUGCCAUACCUCUAACGUCUUUGUGGAGAAGUGAGGAAAAAUCAUUCAAAAUAUCCACCCUUAACCAUUUGUUGUCUGUCGUGUUCAUCAUACUAUUGACCAGUUGAGGGUGAAGAGGGCCCUAGAGAAAGGAAAGAUUUUGCUUUCAAAAGACUCUGAUAUGAAGGGAAACCAAUUUUGAGCAAUCUCAAAGUGAAAGGCAUUAUGUAAGUGAAAAGUGCCCAGUACACAGUAGACUCUGAAUACAUCUUUUAAAUGUUAUAUUGAAGUGUGAUAUGUAUACAGAAAGCACACAAUCGUAAGAGUAUAGAUAGCUGACUUUUCACAAACAACACAUUGAUGCAACCAGCACCUUGAUUAAGACACAGAAGGGUCAGGGCACCUGGGUGGCUCAGUUGGUUAAGUGUCUGCCUUCGGCUCAGGUCUAUGGUUCCAGGGUCCUGGGAUCGAGCCCCACAAGCCUGCUUCUCCCGCUCCCACUCCCCCUGCUUGUGUUCUCUCUGUCAAAUAAAUAAAAUCUUUAAAAAAAAGACACAGAAGGGUCAACAUUCCGUGCUUCCUUUCAGCCACAAACAGAUCUUCCCAAG